rnacentral:lncRNA from 1 species
UUUCUCUCGAGCAGACUGCCACGUUUUUUCAUCUUCUUUAUUACACAAAAUUGCUAGGGCAAAGACAACAUAUAUAUAGGAUAUGCUAGGUUUUAGUUGGACCAAUAACAUGGUUAAAUGGAUCAAGAUUCAAAGCCAUCCAAUAGAUAAAUAUACAUGGACUGGGAGUAGCGUUAAUUUCUUAAGCUACUUCCAACGAUUCACGUUAUUUUCAGGUCGAGCAUUUGGACUUAAUUGUUGGUAACAAUUUCACCCAUCGAUCGACGCCUAUGAAAUUCAAUUCGACGUUUACAUGAUAACCUGAAAUUCAUUGGGUAUCAAAACUUAACAAAUCUCCACCUUGAUACUCAAUUAACCUGCAAGAAAUCAAAACACAAAGUUAAUACUUGCAUAAGCAAGAGAACUAGUAAAAUUAAGAUCACAUACCUUAUCUUGUGUUUCAAACCCAAAACACACACCAUACCUGCUCCAUGUUCUCACAAGGGCUAAGGUACAAAAAAACCCAAGUAGAAGUACAUAAUAACAGUAAACAAUCAAGAACAAAUAAACGUACGAUGAAGAUAUAACAUUGGAUAACACAAAUAUAAAACACGUUCACAAAGAAUAACAGAUUAACUCCAAGUUAAUCAACAACGGCCAACACAUAUACAACAAAUGUAUAAAUGACCCACAAAAAGAUUUCAAUAUAUUUAUCAUAUUCCAUUCCGUGUUGCUCACACCUCGAGAAUGCAUAUCUCUUCCGUUGCUCAUCAUGUUUAUUAAACUAAUCACUUAACUCAUGUCUAACUGUAAAUCACAAUAGAUCAUAAGUCUACGAGAUAAUCCUCUAUCACCAUCUCACUUCUCCCAACAAGUGGAUAAUGGGUCUCUAUCUAACAGAAGUGAUAGAAGUGUCUCCUCACACUUCACCUGAUUAGGAUCUUCACAGAUAAAUGAUUUCAACAUUUAAUCACGUCUCAACUCAUGAUCCAAAUAUCACACUCUACAUCCCUUGUACAUACCACCAAUGUACCCAAAGCAUCUAUACUCCACAUCACCAAUAAACACACAUCACACUUAUUACUAAUGCAUUCCAACCCACUAUGUAUGCAAACAAUUACGCUAAGUAAUCAAAAUGCUCUCAAAUUUAUGCAAGUGCACAUAUCAAACAUAUUGAAAUGCAACAUAUAACCAUACAACAAAAUUAAGCAAUCACACACAUCCAUAUAAGAUUACACACAGAUGCACAUGUAGUAAUUAGGUUUACUCUCAAUAAAUCUCACUAGGGUCAUCACUUAGCCACAAUAGCCUCACCUCUUAUCUUACCCUUCAACAAAUCUUUUUUCUUGGGACAGUCCUUCAUAAAGUAUUAAGACUUACCAAAACUAUAACACCACUUACCACCAUCAUUGUCCCAACCUUUGCUCUUCUUCUUACCAUCAUCAUCACUCGAGCAACUACUCGAAUCACUACUAUCUUGAGCUCUUCCCAAAUUCAUUUGCUUAAAAUUAAUUCUACUCAUCGUUAUACAUAACUCACCACUCCUUUUAUUUUUUUCAGUUUUAAUCUCGGUCUCUUUACUUUUAAGAGAAUCUUACCAUAUGUAAUUGUAUUCUUAACUCCC